rnacentral:rRNA from 2 species
UUGGAGGGCAAGUCUGGUGCCAGCAGCCGCGGUAAUUCCAGCUCCAAUAGCGUAUAUUAAAGUUGUUGCAGUUAAAAAGCUCGUAGUUGAAUUUCGAGACCGGCUUACUGGUCGUGCUUUUGUACGUACUGGUAUAAUCGGUUUCUCCUUUCUGACGAACUUUAAUGCCAUUAAUUUGGUGUUUUAGGGAAUCAGGACUGUUACUUUGAAAAAAUUAGAGUGUUUAAAGCAGGCUCACGCUUGAAUACAUUAGCAUGGAAUAACGGAAUAGGACGUUUGAUUCUAUUUUGUUGGUUUCUAGGAUCGACGUAAUGAUUAAUAGGGAUAGUUGGGGGCAUUAGUAUUCAAUUGUCAGAGGUGAAAUUCUUGGAUUUAUUGAAGACUAACUACUGCGAAAGCAUUUGCCAAGGAUGUUUUCAUUAAUCAAGAACGAAAGUUAGGGGAUCGAAGACGAUCAGAUACCGUCGUAGUCUUAACCAUAAACUAUGCCGACUAGGGAUCGGAUGAUGUUAAUUUUUUAAUGACUCAUUCGGCGCCUUACGGGAAAC